rnacentral:rRNA from 1 species
AGUGAACGCUGGCGGUAGGCCUAACACAUGCAAGUCGAACGGCAGCACAGUAAGAGCUUGCUCUUACGGGUGGCGAGUGGCGGACGGGUGAGGAAUACAUCGGAAUCUACUUUUUCGUGGGGGAUAACGUAGGGAAACUUACGCUAAUACCGCAUACGACCUACGGGUGAGAGCAGGGGAUCUUCGGACCUUGCGCGAUUGAAUGAGCCGAUGUCGGAUUAGCUAGUUGGCGGGGUAAAGGCCCACCAAGGCGACGAUCCGUAGCUGGCCUGAGAGGAUGAUCAGCCACACUGGAACUGAGACACGGUCCAGACUCCUACGGGAGGCAGCAGUGGGGAAUAUUGGACAAUGGGCGCAAGCCUGAUCCAGCCAUACCGCGUGGGUGAAGAAGGCCUUCGGGUUGUAAAGCCCUUUUGUUGGGAAAGAAAAGCAGCAGGUUAAUACCCCGCUGUUCUGACGGUACCCAAAGAAUAAGCACCGGCUAACUUCGUG